GGCAGCAGUGGGGAAUAUUGGACAAUGGACCAAAAGUCUGAUCCAGCAAUUCUGUGUGCACGAUGAAGGUCUUCGGAUUGUAAAGUGCUUUCAGCAGGGAAGAAGCAAGUGACGGUACCUGCAGAAGAAGCGACGGCUAAAUACGUGCCAGCAGCCGCGGUAAUACGUAUGUCGCAAGCGUUAUCCGGAAUUAUUGGGCGUAAAGCGCGUCUAGGCGGCUUAUUAAGUCUGAUGUUAAAAUGCGGGGCUCAACUCCGUAUUGCGUUGGAAACUGGUAGGCUAGAGUAUCAGAGAGGUGGGCGGAACUACAAGUGUAGAGGUGAAAUUCGUAGAUAUUUGUAGGAAUGCCGAUGGGGAAGCCAGCUCACUGGAUGAAUACUGACGCUGAAGCGCGAAAGCGUGGGGAGCAAACGGGAUUAGAUACCCCGGUAGUCCACGCCGUAAACGAUGAUCACUAAGUGUGGGGGGUCGAACCUCCGUGCUCAAGCUAACGCGAUAAGUGAUCCGCCUGGGGAGUACGCACGCAAGUGUGAAACUCAAAUGAAUUGACGG
rnacentral:rRNA from 1 species